GCCACACGCUGCCUAGCGUCCCCCCUUGGCGAGGAGUACCGCUUGAUCCGCUCCAGCACCUCGAUCGCGCUGUGCCGGUCGUUUCUGCUGACUGAUUCCGCACAGCGGAUCAGCAGUGUUUCUAGAUUUGCAAGCUGACGAUGAUCAAGAUGUGCUGCGUCAUGGAGCUAACAUUCUGCAGAAGAAGGUGAUGGCUGUCUGUCUACCGAAGUGCUGGCUCCGGAGGCUUCCUGGAGCAUGAGAUCUUCAGCUACCUGUGCUUUUGUGUUUCUGAAUGUGCAUCUGGCGUGUAAACUUCGGCUUAGCCGUUCUGUGUCGAUCCUUGAUCGGUUGGUGUAUCAUGGCUUGUAAUGUUAUCAUGUUUCAUUUAAACAUUGUAGAAUUAGGCGGUAUCAGGUUUUUGCCCCAUAGUAACCUCUGCCGAUUGCGGGGACUUAUGGUGGGUUACCUGAUAACAUUGAGGCCCCUGUAAUUCAGGUACGGGCUCAUUCAGCAGUCGAGAGUGAAAUCUAUACAGCUAACACCAUUGAAGCAA